rnacentral:rRNA from 1 species
AGGGCACCACCAGGAGUGGAGCCUGCGGCUUAAUUUGACUCAACACGGGAAACCUCACCCGGCCCGGACACGGACAGGAUUGACAGAUCGAUAGCUCUUUCUCGAUUCCGUGGGUGGUGGUGCAUGGCCGUUCUUAGUUGGUGGAGCGAUUUGUCUGGUUAAUUCCGAUAACGAACGAGACUCUGGCAUGCUAACUAGUUACGCGACCCCCCGAGCGGUCGGCGUCCCCCAACUUCUUAGAGGGACAAGUGGCGUUCAGCCACCCGAGAUUGAGCAAUAACAGGUCUGUGAUGCCCUUAGAUGUCCGGGGCUGCACGCGCGCUACACUGACUGGCUCAGCGUGUGCCUACCCUACGCCGGCAGGCGCGGGUAACCCGUUGAACCCCAUUCGUGAUGGGGAUCGGGGAUUGCAAUUAUUCCCCAUGAACGAGGAAUUCCCAGUAAGUGCGGGUCAUAAAGCUUGUGUUGAUUAAUUCCCUGCCCUUUGUACACACCGCCCGUCGCUACUCCGCCGGGUUC